rnacentral:tRNA from 1 species
GUGGGCGUAGCUCAGUUGGUAGAGCACAGGAUUGUGGCUCCUGAGGUCGCGGGUUCAAAUCCCGUCGCUCACCCCA